rnacentral:lncRNA from 1 species
CUGCGCGGUCAACGGUAGCGAGUACUUGAGGACCGUGGGGGUUUUCUGCGGGCUGGGAGGCCUGUGCCCUUUGACCCUCCCCUCCGACCCUGCUCUUGGAACUUCCUUAAAAUGCAAAGUUUUAGCCCUUUACGAAAGGGAGAAAGAUUUGCCUCCAUUAGUCGUUAGCACCAGAAGAACAAAAUAUUGUAUGUGCAUAUAUAUUAAUAUGUAGUACACGACAUAUAUUUGUGUAAAGCCCUGGCUCCACGGACUCGUAGUUGUAUUAGGGGCUUUUAUAUUUUGGCUUUUUGUGUUUUGACUAUGGUGUGGUGCGGUAGGAAUUGUUCAGGAGACAACCGAUUAUCAGUUAAUCCUGCAGCUAUUCAUUGAGCGCCUUAUACGUGCCAAUUACUACUG